rnacentral:ribozyme from 1 species
ACACGCACACACACAAUUACACACAAAAAUCACACACACACACACACAAAUGUGAAUGAAGUAUAAAUACUAUUGAACCUUUCUUUCUUUCUUUCUUUUCAUCUCUCUUUUUCUUUUCUGGCGUCAUUUUUGG